rnacentral:rRNA from 1 species
GACGAACGCUGGCGGCGUGCUUAACACAUGCAAGUCGAGCGGUAAGGCCCUUUCGGGGUACACGAGCGGCGAACGGGUGAGUAACACGUGGGUGACCUGCCUUUAGCUCUGGGAUAAGCCUGGGAAACUGGGUCUAAUACCGGAUAUGACUCCAUGAUGCAUGUUGGUGGGGUGAAAGCCUUGUGCGGCUGGAGAUGGGCCCGCGGCCUAUCAGCUUGUUGGGUGGGGUGAGGGCCCUACCAAGGCGACGACGGGUAGCCGGCCUGAGA